GCUCCGCGGCCCAUCAGGUAGACGGCGGGGUGACGCCCCACCGUGCCGACAACGGGUAGCCGGGUUGAGAGACCGACCGGCCAGAUUGGGACUGAGACACGGCCCAGACUCCUACGGGAGGCAGCAGUGGGGAAUCUUGCGCAAUGGGGGGAACCCUGACGCAGCGACGCCGCGUGCGGGACGGAGGCCUUCGGGUCGUAAACCGCUUUCAGCAGGGAAGAGUCAAGACUGUACCUGCAGAAGAAGCCCCGGCUAACUACGUGCCAGCAGCCGCGGUAAUACGUAGGGGGCGAGCGUUAUCCGGAUUCAUUGGGCGUAAAGCGCGCGUAGGCGGCCCGGCAGGCCGGGGGUCGAAGCGGGGGGCUCAACCCCCCGAAGCCCCCGGAACCUCCGCGGCUUGGGUCCGGUAGGGGAGGGUGGAACACCCGGUGUAGCGGUGGAAUGCGCAGAUAUCGGGUGGAACACCGGUGGCGAAGGCGGCCCUCUGGGCCGAGACCGACGCUGAGGCGCGAAAGCUGGGGGAGCGAACAGGAUUAGAUACCCUGGUAGUCCCAGCCGUA
rnacentral:rRNA from 1 species